AUACGUAGGGGGCGAGCGUUGUCCGGAAUGAUUGGGCGUAAAGGGCGCGUAGGCGGCCCGGUAAGUCUGGAGUGAAAGUCCUGUUUUUAAGAUGGGAAUUGCUUUGGAUACUGUCGGGCUUGAGUGCAGGAGAGGUAAGUGGAAUUCCCAGUGUAGCGGUGAAAUGCGUAGAGAUUGGGAGGAACACCAGUGGCGAAGGCGACGUACUGGACUGUAACUGACGCGGAGGCGCGAAAGGGUGGGGAGCAAACAGGAUUAGAUACCCUGGUAGUCCACACUGUAAACGAUGAAUGCUAGGUGUAAGGGGUAUCGACCCCUUCUGUGCCGCAGUCAACACAAUAAGCAUUCCGCCUGGGGAGUACGGCCGCAAGGUUGAAACUCAAAGGAAUUGACGGGG
rnacentral:rRNA from 1 species